rnacentral:rRNA from 1 species
GGGGAAUAUUGCGCAAUGGGCGAAAGCCUGACGCAGCGACGCCGCGUGAGGGAUGAAGGUCUUCGGAUCGUAAACCUCUGUCAGGAGGGAAGAACCGCCAUGGUGCUAAUCAGCCGUGGUCUGACGGUACCUCCAAAGGAAGCACCGGCUAACUCCGUGCCAGCAGCCGCGGUAAUACGGAGGGUGCGAGCGUUAAUCGGAAUCACUGGGCGUAAAGCGCACGUAGGCUGCUUGGUAAGUCAGGGGUGAAAGCCCGCGGCUCAACCGCGGAAUUGCCUUUGAUACUGCCGAGCUAGAGUCCGGGAGAGGGUAGUGGAAUUCCAGGUGUAGGAGUGAAAUCCGUAGAGAUCUGGAGGAACAUCAGUGGCGAAGGCGACUACCUGGACCGGUACUGACGCUGAGGUGCGAAAGCGUGGGGAGCAAAC